ensembl:lncRNA
AAAAACGGCCCUAGGUAUUGUUAAAUAUCUCUCACAGAUCAGCUGUGACCUAUGAUGUUUUCAGAAGUGGAUUUCCUCUGUGUUGAGCGAGUGUUGAUAUGUGGAUUCGGUAUAAAGAAGUGUCAGACUCCUCUGAAUGUGAAGAUGCUUCUAAAAUCUUGAACAACACUGAAAUCCUAAUGCAGACUGAUUUUUAUGUGUUCAGAGCCUUCCAAGCUGGCUCUAACAAUUUCGGCUUAACGUGACUCUUUAAACUUACCAACUGCUUUCCACUAUGAACUUUGAUCAAUAAAUUCAAGAGUGCCAUUUGCUUGGAGCGCCAAACUGAAGUGCUUACCUCUGUGGCUCAGUGACAAAUUGCGUGAUGUAGAGAUGGCAGAGCUCUUGGUAUUUAGCUAUUGUGCUGAGACUCAACGUUGCAGAUUAAUUAAGUGCACUCACGUGGCAGCAGGACAGCACGUCAGCCAUUUCAGGUCAGUCUUUGGAAAAGUGCAGAGAUACAGGCAGCAGCAGCAGCAAGAAAGAAGAGAGCUCAUUUCUUUUGCUCCAACUCCGUGUCUGAUCUAGAAUCCAGUCCUGCAAAUGCUUUCCGAUUUCCUAAAGGGAUGGCAAGAGCUACAGGGUCUGAACUUUGGGUAGGACUCAUUCUUAGGUGCAAAAAACUUCUUCAUAAGUCAGCAGAUUAUGCGAAGGCUACAGUAUGGGAAGGAAGAGCAAGAAUAUUCUGGGGUGUGCUCAGAGGUAUCUAGCCUAUGAAAGAUGAUUAAAAUGAAAAUCCAGUGAGUGGAUGACCCAGAAGUUAUUACUAACUUGCAUUCAUCUGGUGCUUAGAUGGUUUGGUGACUGUUCCACGUUGGCUUUUGAAAUAAAAUGACUUUAGCAUACAACCAGAUUCCUAAAUUCUAGUUGGGCACAAGCUGUGACACCUUUCGUCUAAGAAGUAAAGAACAAAUGUGGUUACAGCUGUGCUUCAGAUAAAGAGCUUGUUUAAGUGUUUUUCUGGAGGAGGGCCAGCAUACUCAGCUCCUCGUGCACCAAGCUGGGCAGCAGGCUGCACUGCUCAGGUUUUAUUUCUGCAGGCUGCAUUGCACGCAGUGGUUACCUACCUUCCCAUUCCAGUGGAACUGUAUCUAUUUCAAGCUCUCCGAGGUUCUUAGAAAAGUAAAUUAUUGCUCCCCAAGCAAAUUUAUGUGCUGAAAUAUUAUAUCCAUCACGUUGUUC